rnacentral:rRNA from 1 species
CCCUUAGAUGUUCUGGGCCGCACGCGUGCUACACUGAGUGGAUCAGCGGGUCAGGUUGCGCGAAAGUGUUUCCUAAUCUUUAAAUCCGCUCGUGAUGGGGAUUGACGGUUGCAAUUUUCCGUCAUGAACGAGGAAUACCUUGUAAGCGCGGGUCAUCAUCCCGCGCUGAAUACGUCCCUUCCCUUUGUACACACCGCCCGUCGCUCCUACCGAUUGAGUGGUCCGGUGAGGCUUUGGGAUCUGAGCGGAAAGAGCGUUUCGCUGUUUCUGCCCGGAAAACUCAGUCGAACCUUAUCAUUUAGAGGAAGGAGAAGUCGUAACA